rnacentral:rRNA from 1 species
CAGUCGCCACGGUAAUACGUAGGGUGCGAGCGUCAAUCGGAAUUACUGGGCGUAAAGCGUGCGCAGGCGGUUGUGUAAGACAGGUGUGAAAUCCCCGGGCUUAACCUGGGAACUGCGCUUGUGACUGCACAGCUAGAGUAUGGCAGAGGGGGGUGGAAUUCCACGUGUAGCAGUGAAAUGCGUAGAGAUGUGGAGGAACACCGAUGGCGAAGGCAGCCCCCUGGGCCAAUACUGACGCUCAUGCACGAAAGCGUGGGGAGCGAACAGGAUUAGAUACCCCAGUAGUCCCUGUCUCUUAUAC